rnacentral:rRNA from 1 species
GCCUAACACAUGCAAGUCGAGCGAACCAUUUGGGGAAACUCGGAUGGUUAGCGGCGGACGGGUGAGUAACACGUGGGUAACCCACCUGGGGGACCGGGAUAACGGCUCGAAAGGGCCGCUAAUACCGGAUACGCUCCCUGGAGCACAAGCUCCGGGGAGGAAAGGUCGCGCAAGCAGCCACUCCCAGACGGGCCCGCGGCCCAUUAGCUAGUUGGCGGGGUAACGGCCCACCAAGGCAAUGAUGGGUAGCCGGUCUGAGAGGAUGACCGGCCACACGGGGACUGAGACACGGCCCCGACUCCUACGGGAGGCAGCAGUGGGGAAUCUUCCGCAAUGGGCGAAAGCCUGACGGAGCGACGCCGCGUGGGGGACGAAGGCCUUCGGGUCGUAAACCCCUGUCAGAGGGAAAGAAGGGUGCCGGCGUGAACAGCGCCGGCAUCUGACGGUACUCUCAGAGGAAGCCACGGCCAACUCCGUGCCAGCAGCCGCGGUAAUACGGAGGUGGCAAGCGUUGCUCGGAAUCACUGGGCGUAAAGGGCGCGUAGGCGGGAAGGUAAGUCGGGUGUGAAAUCCCUCGGCCCAACCGAGGAACUGCGCCCGAGACUGCUUUUCUUGAGUCCCGGAGAGGAAGGUGGAAUUCCCGGUGUAGCGGUGAAAUGUGUAGAGAUCGGGAGGAACACCGGUGGCGAAGGCGGCCUUCUGGACGGUGACUGACGCUGAGGCGCGAAAGCGUGGGGAGCAAACGGGAUUAGAUACCCCGGUAGUCCACGCUGUAAACGAUGGGUGCUAGGUGUGGGGGGGUAUCGACCCCUCCCGUGCCGAAGCUAACGCAUUAAGCACCCCGCCUG